GUUUCGGGUUAACAGCAAGGGGUUUAGGGAGGUGGGUCUAGGUCGCGGCGGCGUGGUUGAUGAGGUGGUGGCAGGGAAGGUUUGGGAUCAGGACCGGUGGGACACGAGGGGAAGGAACACGCCGCGGCGGGGAUGGAGAGAAGGAGGCGACUGGAGGGCAAGCCACCUUCGUCGCGUCGGUAACGGCCUAAACCGGCCCGACCAGUAGCCACAACAAGCCUAGACCGGCGCGACCAGCAGCCACGACGGCCUAGACCGACGAGGCCCGGAGUAUGUGCGGCGGGGCCAACAAGUUGAGAGGUGGCGGUGAAGGGGGUAGUAGUAAGGUAUACGGAACGGGCCUAGGCACUCUCCCAUUCUGGCCCUCACAUCGGCGAACAGAGGACUCCUCGAGCAGGGGCUGCCGGAGAGAUACCUGAAGGAGGUGGUGUGAGGGUUGCGGUGACGGAAGUCUUGCGCCAGGUAUUAGAUCAUGAAAACGCCCUUCGUGGUCUAGCAGGUAGCUGGCGCUCGACGUAGCUGUAGCUCGCAAGGAGAAGAACCACCCCGCACGUGGAAGACCCCCACUUCCGGACGUCGUGGACGACGAUACCUCUUGCCUACCGCGCCACCAGCAUCCCGACGAGGUUUUGUGGAGAUGUCAGCAGUGGUCAGUGUGGUGCUGCGGAGAGAGUAGUAGCUCGAGUAGUGGACAUAUUCGACCGUAGAAGUAAAGUUUUUAUCUAUUUUCUCCUUUUCCCCUAUGGUCUUCUGUGUUCGUAGACCUUCAUAAGAUUCACAUACCGUCUUCGUUCGACUCCAUAGAGUUUCUAUGUGUUCAACAACCUCCAAACCUUCUACAUGUUCAACGACCUCCAAACCUGCUAGAAUGUUCAACCACCUCACUAUUAUAUAUAAUGGAGGCAGGGUUUAAUACAACAGAAUCUGAACUUCCACAAAUCCAUGUAGGCAUAGAUCUGUUUAUUAAGCCAUCUAUCCCUCAUACAUUAUACGGAAGAAACAACUCGGAUUUCUAAAACGUUCAAAGUGAAACGAGUAAAACCACCAACAAAACCGUGUAUUCGGUACCUUAAGAGUAAAACCUACACACCGUGUUAAAGAAUAGGAUCUUUGUAUACAUGAAACGUAACACCGUCUUACAAGAAUACAUAAACUAACCAAUUACAAUAACUUACUCUGGAACGUACAUUGUAACUAAUUUC
rnacentral:rRNA from 1 species